rnacentral:rRNA from 1 species
UACCAUGCAGUCGAGCGGAGAUGAGGUGCUUGCACCUUAUCUUAGCGGCGGACGGGUGAGUAAUGCUUAGGAAUCUGCCUAUUAGUGGGGGACAACAUUCCGAAAGGAAUGCUAAUACCGCAUACGUCCUACGGGAGAAAGCAGGGGAUCUUCGGACCUUGCGCUAAUAGAUGAGCCUAAGUCGGAUUAGCUAGUUGGUGGGGUAAAGGCCUACCAAGGCGACGAUCUGUAGCGGGUCUGAGAGGAUGAUCCGCCACACUGGGACUGAGACACGGCCCAGACUCCUACGGGAGGCAGCAGUGGGGAAUAUUGGACAAUGGGGGGAACCCUGAUCCAGCCAUGCCGCGUGUGUGAAGAAGGCCUUAUGGUUGUAAAGCACUUUAAGCGAGGAGGAGGCUACUGAGACUAAUACUCUUGGAUAGUGGACGUUACUCGCAGAAUAAGCACCGGCUAACUCUGUGCCAGCAGCCGCGGUAAUACAGAGGGUGCGAGCGUUAAUCGGAUUUACUGGGCGUAAAGCGUGCGUAGGCGGCUUUUUAAGUCGGAUGUGAAAUCCCCGAGCUUAACUUGGGAAUUGCAUUCGAUACUGGGAAGCUAGAGUAUGGGAGAGGAUGGUAGAAUUCCAGGUGUAGCGGUGAAAUGCGUAGAGAUCUGGAGGAAUACCGAUGGCGAAGGCAGCCAUCUGGCCUAAUACUGACGCUGAGGUACGAAAGCAUGGGGAGCAAACAGGAUUAGAUACCCUGGUAGUCCAUGCCGUAAACGAUGUCUACUAGCCGUUGGGGCCUUUGAGGCUUUAGUGGCGCAGCUAACGCGAUAAGUAGACCGCCUGGGGAGUACGGUCGCAAGACUAAAACUCAAAUGAAUUG